GGCUGGUCCGAGUGCAGUGGUGUUUACAACUAACUGAUUACAACCAGUUACAGAUUUCUUUGCUCCUUCUCCACUCCCACUGCUUCACUUGACCAGCCUGAA
rnacentral:Y_RNA from 1 species